CCUACGGGGGGCAGCAGUAGGGAAUAUUGCUCAAUGGGGGAAACCCUGAAGCAGCAACGCCGCGUGGAGGAUGAAGGUUUUCGGAUUGUAAACUCCUUUUGUUAGAGAAGAUAAUGACGGUAUCUAACGAAUAAGCACCGGCUAACUCCGUGCCAGCAGCCGCUGUCAUUCGGAGGGUGCAAGCGUUACUCGGAAUCACUGGGCGUUAAGAGCGCGUCGGCGGAAUAGCAAGUCAGGUGUGAAAUCCUAUGGCUUAACCAUCGAACUGCAAUUGAAACUGUUAUUCUGGAGUAUGAGAGAGGUAGGUGGAAUUCUUGGUGUAGGGGUAAAAUCCGUAGAGAUCAAGAAGAAUACUCAUUGCGAAGGCGACCUGCUAGAACAUAACUGACGCUGAUGCGCGAAAGCGUGGGGAGCGAACAGGAUUAGAUACCCGGGUAGUC
rnacentral:rRNA from 1 species